CUCAUGGAGUUUGUUUAAAACCUUUCUUAAAAGCUGAGAACAAUCUGAGGGUUGAUGGGUGGUGGGAGGGAGAGGCGGGUGGGUGCUGGGUAUUGAGGAGGGCACCUGUUGGGAUGAGCACUGGGUGUUGUAUGGAAACCAAUUUGACAAUAAAUUUCAUAUAAAAAAAAAACAACCUUUCUUCUCCAUAAGACGAACAAUGAUGUGAAUAAUUAACAACUGUAGUAAAUACCACAAAGGAGAAUUGCUGAGUAUUACCUCCGAGGGUGUGGUUGUGGCAGAAAGGGGUGGGAGUUAGAGGAAGUUUUCCCCUGAUGACUUUUAAUACCCCCGGGAUUAGAAAAGCCUGGCUUACUCCUAGACCAAUGUUCUUUUCCCUGCAAAUGCUGCCUCUGAAGACACAACUAAGUCUUCCAGCACAAUAGAGAACACCUAAGGAGUGACCAGGCAGAGUUAUCAUGAAGAUUGCCCAAAACCACUGACUCACCAAGACCCCUGGCUCCAAGACAUGUGUGACCUACGGAAGACACCUCAACACUCAUCUUUGCUCCUGGAUGCCUGAGCAGACACACACACUGGACCACAAUCCUCAGUACAAACCCCAGGUCCCAAGCAAAGAUGAAGCUCACCCUUCUUUCCUUUCUGAGUCUCCCAGACACUCUGUAUCUGCAUUCUCUCUAGGUCUUCAAUACCUUCUGCUCUCACUGCCUCUCGACUCAGGUUUGAUUUCUAUCCUGUACAAAGCCAAGGGCCCUCUUGCUGGGUCCUGCAAGAAUCCCUUCCGGAUCCUUGGACCCAGCCAGCCUGCAUCAUAGUGAUGCAGGGUUGGUUAAAUAAAUUAUGAUAUGGAAUAUUGUGAAGCCCUCAAAAUGAUGACAUGUCUAUUGUUGACAAGGAAAGAUGUCCACAUUUUAGUAACUGGGGGAAACAAUUAGGUUACAGUAUAGUGAAUAGAGCUUUCAUAAGUCUGGAAACCAAAAAUGUUUAUAUUAUUUAUCUCUGGGUGGUGACAAUAUAGAAUUUUUUUUUUCAUUUUUGCUUACCUAUAUUUUCUAGUUUUUCUACUGGAGUAAUGAAAAAAGGCAGAUAAAAAUAAGCUCAUGAGACAGAAGAUUAGAAUAUGGCCUGACAGAGAAAACAUUUAAAUACAGUACUGUGGCAUUUUCAUUUACCGAGAAUUAUAUUUAUAGCUUACUUCAAAACAUGAAUACUUUGCAGCACAUUUCAAAUGUUAUUCUGUAAAAUUUAUAAUGAAAGACAAAGUGUGAUCACAGAUAUUGUUCCUUAAAAUUAAAAUUCAUCGUAGUUCUCUUUUCUCUGCAUGUGUCAUUGUCUUUGGUCAUACAUUUUCUCAAACCCAAGUGAAGAUUUUUCCUCACUCGAAUGCCAGUUUUAGGGAGUGCUCUGUGUUGCCUUGCUUUAUUUUUUAAAUUAGGGUUGGAAAACGUUUCUAUCAUUGUUCCACUUAAAAUUUCCAAUAAAAACAAUUUGAAGAAUGGG